rnacentral:rRNA from 1 species
UGGGGAAUAUUGCACAAUGGGGGAAACCCUGAUGCAGCGACGCCGCGUGAACGAAGAAGGUAUUCGUAUCGUAAAGUUCUGUCCUAUGGGAAGAUAAUGACAGUACCAUAGAAGAAAGCUCCGGCUAAAUACGUGCCAGCAGCCGCGGUAAUACGUAUGGAGCGAGCGUUGUCCGGAAUUAUUGGGCGUAAAGGGUACGCAGGCUGUUUAAUAAGUCGAAUGUUAAAGAUCGGGGCUCAACCCCGCAAAGCAUUGGAAACUGAUAAACUUGAGUAGUGGAGAGGAAAGUGGAAUUCCUAGUGUAGUGGUGAAAUACGUAGAUAUUAGGAGGAAUACCAGUAGCGAAGGCGACUUUCUGGACACAAACUGACGCUGAGGUACGAAAGCGUGGGGAGCAAACAGG